rnacentral:tRNA from 1 species
GGAGGAUCGGCCGAGUGGUAAGGCAGCGGGCUUGCGCUGUGCUCAACGCAGAGCGAGUCGUCGUCCGGGUCACCCCGCGCGUGUCCGUUCCGCGCAUCCUCCG